rnacentral:rRNA from 1 species
CAAGUCGAACGGGAUCCCAGGAGCUUGCUCCUGGGUGAGAGUGGCGAACGGGUGAGUAAUGCGUGACCGACCUGCCCCAUACACCGGAAUAGCUCCUGGAAACGGGUGGUAAUGCCGGAUGCUCCAGUUGGAUGCAUGUCCUUCUGGGAAAGAUUCAUCGGUAUGGGAUGGGGUCGCGUCCUAUCAGCUUGAUGGCGGGGUAACGGCCCACCAUGGCUUCGACGGGUAGCCGGCCUGAGAGGGCGACCGGCCACAUUGGGACUGAGAUACGGCCCAGACUCCUACGGGAGGCAGCAGUGGGGAAUAUUGCACAAUGGGCGCAAGCCUGAUGCAGCGACGCCGCGUGCGGGAUGACGGCCUUCGGGUUGUAAACCGCUUUUGACUGGGAGCAAGCCCUUCGGGGUGAGUGUACCUUUCGAAUAAGCACCGGCUAACUACGUGCCAGCAGCCGCGGUAAUACGUAGGGUGCAAGCGUUAUCCGGAAUUAUUGGGCGUAAAGGGCUCGUAGGCGGUUCGUCGCGUCCGGUGUGAAAGUCCAUCGCUUAACGGUGGAUCCGCGCCGGGUACGGGCGGGCUUGAGUGCGGUAGGGGAGACUGGAAUUCCCGGUGUAACGGUGGAAUGUGUAGAUAUCGGGAAGAACACCAAUGGCGAAGGCAGGUCUCUGGGCCGUCACUGACGCUGAGGAGCGAAAGCGUGGGGAGCGAACAGGAUUAGAUACCCUGGUAGUCCACGCCGUAAACGGUGGAUGCUGGAUGUGGGGACCAUUCCACGGUCUCCGUGUCGGAGCCAACGCGUUAAGCAUCCCGCCUGGGGAGUACGGCCGCAAGGCUAAAACUCAAAGAAAUUGACGGGGGCCCGCACAAGCGGCGGAGCAUGCGGAUUAAUUCGAUGCAACGCGAAGAACCUUACCUGGGCUUGACAUGUUCCCGACAGCCGUAGAGAUACGGUCUCCCUUCGGGGCGGGUUCACAGGUGGUGCAUGGUCGUCGUCAGCUCGUGUCGUGAGAUGUUGGGUUAAGUCCCGCAACGAGCGCAACCC